UUUUAAUGAGAGUUUGAUCCUGGCUCAGGACGAACGCUGGCGGCGUGCCUAAUACAUGCAAGUAGAACGCUGAAGGAGGAGCUUGCUUCUCUGGAUGAGUUGCGAACGGGUGAGUAACGCGUAGGUAACCUGCCUGGUAGCGGGGGAUAACUAUUGGAAACGAUAGCUAAUACCGCAUAAGAGUGGAUGUUGCAUGACAUUUGCUUAAAAGGUGCACUUGCAUCACUAC
rnacentral:rRNA from 1 species